UACAGAGGUCUCAAGCGUUGUUCGGAUUCAUUGGGCGUAAAGGGUGCGUAGGCGGCGCGGUAAGUCGGGUGUGAAAUCUCGGGGCUUAACUCCGAAACUGCAUUCGAUACUGCCGUGCUUGAGGACUGGAGAGGAGACUGGAAUUUACGGUGUAGCGGUGAAAUGCGUAGAUAUCGUAAGGAAGACCAGUGGCGAAGGCGGGGUCUCUGGGACAGUUCCUGA
rnacentral:rRNA from 1 species